rnacentral:lncRNA from 10 species
UGCUUAGCACUUGGCCAUGCUUUGUUUGAAACCUUAAAAGCUCUUAAAGGAAGUUGCCUUAUGUUCCCUGAUGAGAAGAUGAAGUUGGCAAAAGAAUGGUGAAAGGCAGGGAUCUUGAUGAGAGGCCCCUGACUAUCCCUUUAGUGAUCAGCAUUCUUCAUUUCCCGUCUCAUUCCAUGUCCUGGUGGAAUGGCUGCAGAAGAUGAGAUCCAGAGACAGCGGUAGCACCUGAAGGAGACCCUUUUCAUCAACAACUGCCUGUGAGAAAAGCUGGAAUGUCAUCUCAGCAGCUUUGAUGAAGAAAAUGCAUGCACCUCUAAACUCUACAGGCACAUCAUAGAUUCCAUCGUCCAGCUGUAUAAUGAAAACAGAGUUCUCAGAGAACACCGGAGACUCCCCCGACUUGCCUGAAUCAAGUUUCUAGAGGUAAGCGGUGAAAAUCCACAAUAUGAAGUCACUCUCAGACGGGUCCCUUCUCUUGUCACACUCCACUGUAGAAACAAAAGAGGACGGGGAAGCCAGAGCUGCUCAAAACCUUAUAACCCACAAUUGUCAUAGUUAUUCUCAACUUACACAGGGCUGCUUUCUAGACGCACCCCCUCCAGGCCCCCAGACUGCCAGGCUCCAGGAAUAAGUAGCUCUGAGAAAUAUAGUUUUUCGGUGGAAGCCACACUCCACUAUUGCAAAUUGGAGAAGAGAAGGACAAACUUAAAAGGUGAAAAGAUUUAAGAGAACAACAUGGUGAAACCCCAUCUCUACUAAAAAUACAAAAAUUAGCUAGGCGUGGUGACAUGCACCUGUAGUCCCAGCUACUCAGGAGGCUGAGGCAGGAGAAUCAUUUCAACCUGGGAGGCGGAGGUUGCAGUGACCCAAGAUUGCUCCACUGCACUCUAGCCUGGGUGACAGAGCAAGAC